rnacentral:rRNA from 1 species
ACGGGAGAGUAACACGUGGGAACGUACCCUUCGGUUCGGAACAACCCAGGGAAACUUGGGCUAAUACCGGAUACGUCCGUAAGGAGAAAGAUUCAUCGCCGAAGGAUCGGCCCGCGUCUGAUUAGCUAGUUGGUGGGGUAACGGCCCACCAAGGCGACGAUCAGUAGCUGGUCUGAGAGGAUGAUCAGCCUCACUGGGACUGAGACACGGCCCAGACUCCUACGGGAGGCAGCAGUGGGGAAUAUUGGACAAUGGGCGCAAGCCUGAUCCAGCCAUGCCGCGUGGGUGAUGAAGGCCCUAGGGUUGUAAAGCCCUUUCGGCGGGGAAGAUAAUGACGGUACCCGCAGAAGAAGCCCCGGCUAACUUCGUGCCAGCAGCCGCGG